AAAAGACCCAGAAUAGCCAAAGCAAUUCUUAGCAAGAAGAGUGAGGCAGGAGGCUUCACAAUACCAGACCUUAAAUUAUACUACAGAGCCAUAGUAACAAAAACGGCAUGGUAUUGGCAUCAAAACAGAUACAUAAAUCAAUGGUACAGAAUAGAAGACACAGAGACAAACCCACAUAAAUACAGCUAUCUCAUACUAGACAAAGGUGUCAAAAACAUAUGUUGGAGAAAAGAUAGCCUGGUUCUGAGAAAACUGGAAAUCCAUAUGUAGCAAAAUGAAAUUAAACACUUAUCUCUUGCCUGGCACAAAAAUCAAGUCAAAGUGGAUCAAGGACUUAGGCACUAGAACAGAUACCUUGUGCCUAAUUGAAUAUAAAGUAGGCCCAAAUCUCCACCUUGUUGGCUUAGGAACUGACUUCCUUAACAAGACUCCUAAAGCACAAGAAGUAAAAUCAAGAAUCAAUAAAUAGGAUGGAAUCAAACUAAAAAGCUUCUUCACAGCAAAGGAAAUAAUCAAGAACAUGAAGAGAGAGCCUACAGAAUGUGAGAAAAUCUUUAUCACAUGCACCUCAGAUAGAGCAUUAAUCUCCAGGAUAUAUAAAGAACUCAAAAAACUUAACACCAAAAAAAACCAAAUUACCCAAUCAAUAAAUGGGCUAAGGAACUAGACAGACACCUCACAGAAGAAGUAAUACAAUUGAUGAACAAAUAUAUGAAAAAAUAUCCAACAUCUUUAGCAAUUAGAGAAGUGCAAAUUAAUACUGAUAUUCCAUCUCACUCCAGUCAGAAUGGCAAUUAUCAAGAAUACAAGCAACAAUAAAUGUUGGCAAGGAUGUGGGGGAAAAGGCACACUCAUACAUUCCUGGUAGGACUGAUAAUUGGUACAACCACUAUGGAAAGCAGCACAGAGAUUCCUCAGAAAACUUGGAAUGGAACCACCAUUUGGUCUAGCUAUCCCUACCCUCAGUUUAUACCCAAAGGACUUAAAAUGAGCAUACUACAGUGAUGCAGCCACAUCAAUUUUUAUAGCAGCUCAAUUCACAAUAGCUAAACCAACCUAGAUGCCCUUCAACAGAUGAAUGGAUAAAGAAAUUGUAGUACAUAUACACAAAGGAAUAUUACUCAGCCUUAAAGAAAAAUGAACUUAUGGCAUUUGUCGGUAAAUAGAUGGAACUAGAGAAUAUCAUGCUAACCGAAAUAAGCCAGUCCCAAAGAACCAAAGGCUGAAUGUUUUCUCUGAUAUGUGGAUGCUAAUUUACAAUGGGGACAGGAGGCUAGGGAAAAAUAGAAGUACUUUGGAGUGAAGGGAAAGGAG
rnacentral:lncRNA from 1 species